UACGUAGGGUGCGAGCGUUGUCCGGAAUUAUUGGGCGUAAAGAGCUUGUAGGCGGUUUGUCGCGUCUGAUGUGAAAAUCCGGGGCUCAACCCCGGACUUGCAGUGGAUACGGGCAGACUAGAGUGUGGUAGGGGAGACUGGAAUUCCUGGUGUAGCGGUGAAAUGCGCAGAUAUCAGGAGGAACACCGAUGGCGAAGGCAGGUCUCUGGGCCACUACUGACGCUGAGAAGCGAAAGCAUGGGGAGCGAACAGG
rnacentral:rRNA from 1 species